ACCAACCGGAAGUUAGGUUGUUGUCGUGACUUUUCUACCAAACUCAUCCAAAGUGCAAUAUUGUUGUGUGAUUUUACUUUAUUCACGUGCUUUAGAUAGAUGACAACACAAAUUACUAUCAAGAUAGAUAAACAGAAGCUAAAUUUUAUUUACAAUUUAAGUAUCCAAAUAUUGUAUGCUUUGUCAUUACAUAAUUCAACCGACUAGAUCUACAACAACCUAUUCUCGGGAACCAGGUUCUGUAACCAACAUCCUACAGACACUUGGCUGGCCAACACUAGCAACACGCAGACAAGGAGCCAGGCUUAUACUCCUAUAUAAGAUCCUGCAUGGAGAAGCAUCAGUCAUUAUCCCAGAUUACAUCAGGAGACCAACUGUAACAACCAGACAAUACCACAGGCACAGAGACAGGUUUUCCAGAGUCAGCACUUCAACGGAUGCCUAAAAAUACAGUUUCAUCCCCAGAACAAAUUUUUGACUGGAACCAAUUACCUGGAAGUGCCAUCCAAGCCCCCACAACAGACGCCUUCCGGGUCUGUGUGUGGCAGUUCCUGGCAUGGAUGGUAACUGAAUCAAUACAAAUAGCCUCAUUGAAUUUGAAAAAGCUGCAAAUGAUAUCAGUAACAAAAGAUUGUUAGUGUGCAGUGUGCAGACAGUGGUUAAACAGAAGUUAACAUUUUAUCAGUUUUGGGUUUUUACAAUCAGCUAGAGGAAAUAAUAGGAGAAAAAGGGACCUGUGUGGUAAAAACUUCCUAAAAGUCGUCCUUUAUGUGUUCAACUUUUUCUUUUGGCUGACAGCCCGGUUAGCUUUCCUAGCAUAAGGGUUAUAUAUCAAGUUCCAGAAGCAUACCUAUAUCAAUCUGCUAGGGAACAGUACUUUCCCUUUGGCAACAUACUUGCUACUAGGAACAGGAGCCUUUUUAUCUUGUCAGGAAUCAUUAGUUGUACUGGGACAUGUAUAGAAAACAGAUGUUUUAUGGUUAUGGUUGGAAGAGACUGAUGAACUAUACAUAUCUGGGAUACAGAAUCAAUGAAACAUCGUCAGUACUGAAAGGUCAACAUCAAAGAGGGGUCUGUGCUGUAGACUUCUCAGGUAUUUAUUGUUUGUUCAUUUUCAAUCUUAAUACAAAAAAUUUAUGCAGAUUGAAACAUGACAGGAUAUUUUUGGUGGUUAACCUUGUAAUGAUUUUGACUGGAACAAAAGAAUGGAUGUCAGGAAAAUUAGGAAAAUAAGAUUAUAAGUACAGCUAGUAUGGGAAUAAAACCUGGAAUUUUAUCACCAGAUCUGGUUGGACUUGGAUAUUUGUUGAUUUGUUACUGCCUGAAAAUUAUCUACUACAGUGAUACUUAAUUUAUUGCCACCUUUUGGAACAUGUAAAAUACUAUCGACAAGUCAGGAUGGCAGUAUAUCAAAGUAGAAAUUUAUAUAAAAACUGCACCCAUUUGAGAAAAGUUGACUCUAGGAUUAUUCUGUAAAUUCGUAUUGGCAUGCGUAGGCACCGGACACAUCC